rnacentral:rRNA from 2 species
UCCCAUCCCGAACUCAGCAGUGAAACGAUGUAUCGCCGAUGGUAGUGUGGGGUUUCCCCAUGUGAGAGUAGGUCAUCGUCAAGA